UACAGAGGUGGCAAGCGUUGUUCGGAAUUACUGGGCGUAAAGGGCGCGUAGGCGGUCUUGUAAGUCUCGUGUGAAAUCCCUCGGCUUAACUGAGGAACUGCACGGGAUACUGCUUGACUUGAGUUCGGGAGAGGGAAGCGGAAUUCCGGGUGUAGCGGUGAAAUGCGUAGAUAUCUGGAGGAACACCGGUGGCGAAGGCGGCAUCCUGGACCAACACUGACGCUGAGGAGCGAAAGCCAGGGGAGCAAACGGG
rnacentral:rRNA from 1 species